GUAGCGACUGUAGUAGGCGUUUGUGCAAAACUGCGGAAAAAUUACAGAAAAAGUGCGGGUGUUGAACCAUCUCAGCGGGAAAAGUAUCCCACGGAUGCGACGCCCCUGUAAUCAGGCCAAUCGCAUCGUACAGAUUACCUUGCCAAUCAACACAACGCUUUUCAAAUCGAUUAAUUUUUUUCGUUUCAGGAAGAGAGGGAUGCCUGGAACUUCAAAUGUGAACGUGUCUUUUAUUCUGCUUACCUAAAUCAUGCAGAAAUCUGGCUUGAUGUUUGGUCCACCAGUUAGCUGGCUCUGGUGCUUGAUAGUCUUCUUCAUCCUUCGAAUCAAGGCCAUCAGGAGUGGCUUUCUGAAGAUCAUCAUUAUGUACAGAUCCAGUUUUCUCUACUAUAAGACAGAACUGAACUGGAGUCUGUGAACUAAUGCUGUGUUCGAGACAACUUAGAUGUUGGAUAUUAUCAACCUCAAAACCGUAAGAAAUCUGGAACAGCAAACAAAGUUGGGUAUCCGACCUCUCAACUUGGGACAGAUCGAUCAACACCGACCUCAGCAAGAUGCGUCAUUUGACAUCGCAGAUAAGCACCUGAUCUGCUAAGAUGCACAGAUUCAACUCUGACCCACAUUUCAUCUGCUAUCAGUUUCAUUUAAUGUCCGUCAAAUGCAAAUGCUAUUU